UGGGGAAUUUUGCACAAUGGGCGCAAGCCUGAUGCAGCGACGCCGCGUGAGGGAUGAAGGCCUUCGGGUUGUAAACCUUUUUCGCUCAUGGUCAAGCCGCAGCUUUGGGUUGUGGUGAGGGAAGUGGGUAAAGAAGCGCCGGCUAACUACGUGCCAGCAGCCGCGGUAAUACGUAGGGCGCGAGCGUUGUCCGGAAUUAUUGGGCGUAAAGGGCUGGUAGGCGGUUGGCCGCGUCUGCCGUGAAAUCCUCUGGCUUAACUGGGGGCGUGCGGUGGGUACGGGUUGACUUGAGUGCGGUAGGGGAGACUGGAAUUCCUGGUGUAGCGGUGGAAUGCGCAGAUAUCAGGAGGAACACCGGUGGCGAAGGCGGGUCUCUGGGCCGUUACUGACGCUGAGGAGCGAAAGCGUGGGGAGCGAACAGG
rnacentral:rRNA from 1 species